rnacentral:misc_RNA from 1 species
AGUCGUAACAAGGUAUCCGUAGGUGAACCUGCGGAUGGAUCAUUAACAAAGGUGUUUUUGAAGUUGUGUGAACAGUUGGAGGAGGUGGUGGUGGUGGUGGUACUGGGUGGUAUUGGGUGGUAUUGAGUGGUGUAACCUUGGUCAACCUCACUCAACCUCACUCUCCAAACCUCCACCACUCCGUCCCUAUAAUGUAUACAAACUGAUGUCUGCUAGUUUCAAACUAAAACAACUUUUAGCAACGGAUCUCUUGGCUCUC